rnacentral:rRNA from 1 species
AGAGUUUGAUCCUGGCUCAGGACGAACGCUGGCGGCGUGCCUAACACAUGCAAGUCGAACGGAACUGUUUUGAAAGAUUUCUUCGGAAUGAAUUUGAUUUAGUUUAGUGGCGGACGGGUGAGUAACGCGUGAGUAACCUGCCUUCAAGAGGGGGAUAACAUUCUGAAAAGAAUGCUAAUACCGCAUGACAUAUCGGAAUCACAUGGUUUUGAUAUCAAAGAUUUUAUCGCUUGAAGAUGGACUCGCGUCCGAUUAGUUAGUUGGUGAGGUAACGGCUCACCAAGACCGCGAUCGGUAGCCGGACUGAGAGGUUGAACGGCCACAUUGGGACUGAGACACGGCCCAGACUCCUACGGGAGGCAGCAGUGGGGGAUAUUGCGCAAUGGGGGCAACCCUGACGCAGCAACGCCGCGUGAAGGAUGAAGGUUUUCGGAUUGUAAACUUCUUUUAUUAAGGACGAAACUUGACGGUACUUAAUGAAUAAGCUCCGGCUAACUACGUGCCAGCAGCCGCGGUAAUACGUAGGGAGCAAGCGUUGUCCGGAUUUACUGGGUGUAAAGGGUGCGUAGGCGGCUUUGCAAGUCAGAUGUGAAAUCUAUGGGCUCAACCCAUAAACUGCAUUUGAAACUGUAGAGCUUGAGUGAAGUAGAGGCAGGCGGAAUUCCCCGUGUAGCGGUGAAAUGCGUAGAGAUGGGGAGGAACACCAGUGGCGAAGGCGGCCUGCUGGGCUUUAACUGACGCUGAGGCACGAAAGCGUGGGUAGCAAACAGGAUUAGAUACCCUGGUAGUCCACGCUGUAAACG